ensembl:piRNA 21ur-9686 ncRNA
UAUUAGAUCUUGAAGAAUAUC